rnacentral:rRNA from 1 species
AUUGAACGCUGGCGGCAUGCCUUACACAUGCAAGUCGAACGGUAGCAGGUCUUCGGAUGCUGACGAGUGGCGAACGGGUGAGUAAUACAUCGGAACGUGCCUAGUAGUGGGGGAUAACUACUCGAAAGAGUGGCUAAUACCGCAUGAGAUCUACGGAUGAAAGCAGGGGAUCGCAAGACCUUGUGCUACUAGAGCGGCCGAUGUCAGAUGAGGUUGUUGGUGGGAUAAAAGCUUACCAAGCCGACGAUCUGUAGCUGGUCUGAGAGGACCACCAGCCACACUGGGAUGGAGACAGGGCCAAGACUCCUGCGGAAGGCAGCGGUGGGUAGUUUUGGACUAUGGGCGCAAGCCUGAUCCAGCAAUGCCGCGUGCAGGAUGAAGGCCUUCGGGUUGUACACUGCUUUUGUACGGAACGAAAUGCCCUGGGUUAAUACCCUGGGGUCAUGACGGUACCGUAAGAAUAAGCACCGGCUAACUACGUGCCAGCCGCCGCAGUAACAC